AGGUCAAAUUUUACCCGGGCCAGCUCAAUUGCCUCUUCCACUUUCGAACUUCAAAGCCGCACAAGAGCUCAAACUAGGGCUAGACAGUGAUCGAUCAAACAAACAAAAUUCUCUAAAAUAUUUAAUUUCAAACCCUUUUUCAACUCGCACUCGCGAUUCGGAGUUAAGGCUUUUUAUUUCUUGAAUGGCGCUCGGAGUGCGUUUGAAGAAAAGCCUCAAUGGCGGCAAAUCUUUUGGCAGAAGGAAAAGUGAAGAUUUCGAUUCAAAUGGGAACGAUUCUCAUAGGAAACAUAAUGAAAGUGAGGAGAGGAGAUCUCGGUUCACCGAGAAAAAGUUUAGUAGAAGAGGAGGAGAUAGUGAUGCUAAGGAAGUCGGUAGAAAACCCGGUUACACGAAACCGAGAAGUUCCGGAAGAAAUGAGUAUGGUGAAGGGAGAGGUGGUAGCUUUGAUUCAAGUAGGAAUGAUUCUUAUCGAAGAUAUAGUGAAAGAGGGGAAAAGUUUAGUAGGAGAGGUGGAGAUAGUGAUGCUAAGGAAGUCAGAAGAAAACCCGGUUACGUAAAGCCGAGGAGUUUUGGUAGAAAUGGGUAUAGUGAAGGUAGAGGUGGUAGUUUUGAUUCAAAUGGGAAUGAUUCUAAUCGCAAAUACAGUGAGAGAGGGGAAAGGUCUAGUAGAAGAGGUGGAGCUAGCGAUGGUAAGGAAUUCGGAAGAGAACCAAGGCGUUAUGUUAGAAAUGAAUAUGAUGAAAGUAGAAGGAGCGACGGAGCUAGCGGAGAAAUGAGGGGUCAUCGUGGAAAGAGAGACGAGAGAAUACCCUUUAGAAGCGAAGUAAUUGAUCAGCUUAGAUCAAGAGGGGAAAGAAUCGGUCUGAAGAAAAGAAAAGUAUUUGGGAUGAGGAAUAGGAAGAAGUGGGACGAUAGUCAAGAAGAAGAUAUGGAUGAAAACAGUGAUUCUGUUGAGGCAUCAUCUGAUAAAUUCAAGUUAAAAUGGAAAAAGAUGGAUAAGAAACACAAAGAUCCUGAUGAAGAUUCUUCUAUUUCUGAGAGAAGUGACCGAACUAAAGGGAAACGAGUUGAUAAGGGCGACAGCAAGGAUAAAGUGGUUGAAGAGAAUAGCAAAAGUGAAGGCAGAGAUGAUCAAGUUGCGGAGCAAAAGCCUGUGAGGCAUCAAACACGAGUUCUCAACAAAUUUGGGAAGAAAAUAAGAGUUGAGCGAAAGAGUUCAGAUGAUGGCUCCGCAGAGAGAGUUGCUCCAUUGAAGAAGAAGAAGAGAGUUAUCAAGAUAGAUCCAUAUGACAUCUCAAACAAAAGACUUGAUGAUUUCACUCCUACCGAAGAUCAUGCCGAGAAGAGCGAAGAGAACGAAUCUGAAAUUUCAAAGAACGCUCAGUUCCGUGCUAUACAACCAAGCCCUUCCAUCCUUUCAUUUGUGGAAGAUAAUCUCUUGGGUCGUAGGCGAUUGAAUGAACUGAAGGAUGCUGGAUACAACAUUAAGCUGUCUGCACCUUUAGAUAAUGUUCCCUUCUCUACCAGUAUCGAAAGAGAACGGAUUGAAGAUAAUGUAUUCAGGAAUAAGUUGGAAUUUUUUGCUGCUGCAAAGAUUUCCUCAUCUUUUCCACCUCCUGUAUUGCCAGAGAUAGCAUUCGCAGGCAGGUCAAAUGUGGGAAAGUCGUCGAUGCUAAAUGCACUUACUAGACAGUGGGGAGUAGUAAGGACAUCGGAUAAGCCUGGCCUUACGCAGACCAUCAAUUUUUUUAAGCUUGCUUCAAAGCUUUGUUUAGUUGAUUUGCCUGGAUAUGGUUUUGCUUAUGCCAAGGAAGAAGUCAAAGAUGCGUGGGAGGAGCUGGUGAAGGAGUAUGUGUCCACAAGGGUUGGUCUACAUAGAGUUUGUCUUCUUAUCGACACGAAAUGGGGUAUGAAACCAAGGGACCAUGAACUCAUCGAUUUAAUGGAAAGAUCUCAAACACCUUACCAAAUUGUGUUAACCAAGACCGACUUAGUUUUCCCUAUAGACGUUGCUCGCCGUGCUAUGCUAAUUCAAGAGAGCCUCAAGAAAAACAAGUCGAUAGUUAAUCCCGUGAUGAUGGUGAGCUCCAAGUCUGGAGCUGGUGUCUGCAAUUUGAGAACUGUUCUUUCAAAGAUAACUCGGUUUAUCAAGCCGUAAGAGAGCAAGACCGGGUCAUUUGAUUGACUGUUGGUCAUAUGCAGCUGGCUAUUAACUGGAAGCUUGCUUAUAUUGCAAGCAAAUGCGAAGGUAGGGUUUUUAUUCAGGGGUUCAAUUUUGCUUGUCUAAUAUAAGAAUACAAUGCAAGCUAGCGUGAUUGAAGAAGCAUGAUUGUAUCUAUCAUCUUUUUACCUUGCAAGGAAAUGAUUUCUUUUGGUGAGUAAUAACUUGAAUUAGUGAAAAUGUAUAAAGAAACACAAAUGCUUGAUUUGAUUAUCUGCUUAUUUAUUGAGUUGUGUUGACAGUGGUA